rnacentral:rRNA from 1 species
UCAUUUAAAUAUUUUUAUUGUAACCCAUUUCUACUUAAAUAUUAGCUACACCUUGAUCUGAUAUAUUUUCUUUUUAAAAAUUAUGAAAAUUAACAUUCUUAUAAAAUAUUCUAAUAACGACGGUAUAUAAACUGAUUACAAACUUAAGUAAGGUCCAUCGUGGAUUAUCGAUUACAGAACAGGUUCCUCUGAAUAGACUAAAAUACCGCCAAAUUUUUUAAGUUUCAAGAACAUAACUACUACUACCUUAGUUUUUAAAUUUACAUUUUAAAUAAUAGGGUAUCUAAUCCUAGUUUAUUAUUAAAAUUUUCAAGCUUCAAUUAUUUUAUAUAAAAAAUUUAUAAAUUUAAAAUUUCACCUAAUAAAUUUAUUCUUAUUUUAUAAAUAAACAACUUAACUUUAACCAAAGAAAAUUUAUUUGCAUUAUUCGUAUAACCGCGGCUGCUGGCACAAAUUUAGCCAAUACUCUUUAAUAUUACUAUUUCUAAGUUUCCUUAAUUAAUAAUACUAAUUACUGCGAAUACAAUUAACUUAUUUAUUAUUUAAAUAAAUAAAAAGUCACACAAAAAUUUACAUGUAAAUUAAAUUAAUAAUAAAUUUACAAGCCAAAAUAAAACUUUAUACCAUCAAUUAUAAAAU